GAGAUGCUGCAACACAGAUGUGAGGCUGAAGCACAUUCCUUCAUCUUGGAGACCAAGAUAGACCGAAUGAGAAGGUUGAUUUUCAGAGCCCCUCAAUACUUCAGUGUGUGCUUAUGAGGCUGGACUCUCCAGCUGCAUAUCUAUCAGGAGUGGCUGGGGAGGUAAGUGUCAUGUUUUCACCAUGAUUCUUUACUGAUCUAUCCUGUGAGGUUUGGUUUCUCUGCUUUUAUAUAUGGCAGGAUAAAUUGGGAUAAAUCCUGAUAUUUUCUUUGUAAACAUGUACAAUUUUCUGUGCAAUCUCCCAAGGGAGCCAAUCACCUUUAAAAACCAAAUAAGAACAACCACUCUUACUACGGCCAUGUCUAAAUUAUGAUGUAAUAGCACAUGGAAAGUUCUAGAUUGAUACUAAAGAAGAAAAUGAUCCUUAAAUGUACCCAGUUUUUCAAACUUUUUGUUACUUGUUCCACACACAUGCCUAGCCCCUUCUCCAACUAGCUACUAUUUAUUUCACAUGUAACCACAUUCCAGCACCUUACUUAAUCCCUUUAGAUUUGUAGUUUAAUUCCACCCUUCCCAUGGUCUUAAAAUUAUCCUCAUGAUACAGAUAGUCAAACAGAAGCUGAGAGGUUGAGUAAUGUGCUUUUUAUCAUAAAGCUAGUAAUAAAGUCUUAAUAUUCAUCUUUCUAUCUCAAAAAUUUAUUUUCUUAAUCACUGUUCCAUUUUGCCUCCCUAAACCCCUAAUCUGUAACAAAACUUGAUACUGAUUUUUAUUUCCAAGUGUAAGACUUAUUUUAGACCUUAAAGAUCCAUUUCACUAGUGGCUACUCUAACAUAACUGCUGCUUCUCAAUGGUUUAUUCAGAAAUAUAAAAUCACCAGAUACAAAGUUUUGAAAAGUGAAUCUUGUAAGUGUACAUUUCAAAAUUGUACUUGGUAAUGAGCAAAAUUCUUUUAGGCCCAGUUUAGACAGUCCAAGGUAAAAUGUAUAUUGACAAUCAUCCACUCAAAUUUGAGAAUUAAGAUUAAAAGUAGAAAUAAGUGGAAUGAAGUCAUCUAAUGUACCAAGUUUCAAAUGGUGAGAAAAUGAUUUGCCAUCCAAAGGUUUGAAAAUAUUCCUUGAAAUACCCAUCUAUCAUUUGUGUUUUCUCCCUUGUGUUUAGU
rnacentral:lncRNA from 1 species